rnacentral:misc_RNA from 1 species
AACCAUAGAAACCUGCGGAGUACCUGCGGAAGGAUCAUUACAGAGUUGCAAAACUCCCUAAACCACUGUGAACGUUACCUAAACCGUUGCUUCGGCGGGCGGCCCGGGUCCUUCCCGGCGCCCAUCGGCCCUCGCGGGCGCCCGCCGGAGGUAAACCAAACUAUUGCAUUGUAUGGCCUCUCUGAGUCUUCUGUACUGAAUAAGUCAAAACUUUUAACAAUGGAUCUCAGAUCGGAAGAG